rnacentral:rRNA from 1 species
UACAGAGGGGGCAAGCGUUGUCCGGAUUUAUUGGGCGUAAAGAGCGUGUAGGCGGCCUGACAGGUCUGCUGUGAAAACUCGAGGCUCAACCUCGAGAUGUCGGCGGAAACCGUCUGGCUAGAGUCCGGAAGAGGAGAGUGGAAUUCCUGGUGUAGCGGUGAAAUGCGCAGAUAUCAGGAAGAACACCUAUGGCGAAGGCAGCUCUCUGGGACGGUACUGACGCUGAGGCGCGAAAGCGUGGGGAGCGAACCGG